AGCCAAAUCACAGAACCACCUCCCUCUCCCUGACCAUCCUGCUGACACUGUUCAAGGGUUUAUAUGAACAGGUAGAGGUAGAUGCCUUCAUUGCCUUCACUCUCACAUUAAAAAGUUCUAGCCCCUGCCAAUUACAAAAGUCAGACUUGGCCCAUUUCUCUUUGGCACAGAGAAUGAGGAAAGUCGGCCCAUCUAAAUUCCAGCCUUUACAAACAGCUAUAGGAUAGCAACUAACGCAGAGUCAAACUAUAUAAAUGGAGACAAUGAGGACAGUUCCUGGAACUUUGACUUUUGAGCAAUUGUGGUUGGAGUGAUCAGAAGUUUAAUGAACCCAGAAGCCUUGAUUCAGAAACUUACCAGCAUGAAAUAAACAGCUCAGGCCCAGCUGCAGCCCUGGAAAUUGGCUGAGAGCACUUCCAAAGUGCAAACCAUGUGUUCAGUGAGAAAAGUACUCAAUGCUGAGACAAAGAAAAGUAAUCCUUCCUUGGACCAGUUUGCCACACAUCAGGUAGACGGUGAUGGCUCCUGGAUGAAGCCCUGACCCUGGAGUCCACUGGCCCUUCCUCUUGGUUUCUAGGAACACACUUCACAAGGCCAAAGAAAGGGAUUGCUGCUCAGUGGCCUUUCUUAAGAGAAAGCCUCUACAAACCAUGAGAGACUCUUGAAUGCUGAGAACAA